UCAGAAUUAGGGCACUUUUAUUUGACGUUGACAAACUCAGAGAGAGAGAGAGAAUUGGAAACAAACAGAGAUUCGGGCUUCAUAAUUCAUUGAUAUCGAUCGAUUCGUAGGUUUAAUUUAUUAGGGCAAAGUUGGUUGUUCUCGAAUCUCGACCGGAAAUGGCAGGAGAAGCUAGAUUGUUGAAGUUCUUGAAUCCAAGGCUCCGUCCCCAAGCCGACGACAUCAAAGCCGCUGCCGCGUGGGGCGUCGCUGCCACCACUACGGCUUUUUGGCUCAUCCAGCCAUUUGAUUGGUUGAAGAAGACCUUUUUCGAGAAGCCAGAGUCCGAGAAGUGAAUUCGGAUUUGAAUUUUUCUUGUUCAACUUUCUGGUUCAAGUUUCUGACAAGACAGACAACAAUGGAAACUGUUUGAAUUCAUAAGACAUUUUUGGGAGGAGAUUAUCUACAUAAUGGUUUAGUGUCAUUUUCCUGUUUCAGUGCCGUGUUUGGAUGCCUUUCUUGCAUUGCUCUUUAUGCAAUUUUGUUUUCACUUCGUCGCAGUUUCUAUGGCGAUUGUCGUCAUAAGGUUAAUAAAGAAAGUUAUCUAUAUUUACCUUUGUUCCA